AACGGUCUAUACCUGCGGUACCUGCGGAGGGAUCAUUAAAGAGUUUAACUACUCAAACCAUUGUGAACCUUACCUCAACCGUUGCUUCGGCGGGCGGGCCCGGGCCAAGCCCGGCGCCCCCCCGGCCCCUCGCGGGCGCCCGCCGGAGGUUAACCGAACCCUUGAAUUGUAUGGCCUCUCUGAGUCUUCUGUACUGAAUAAGUCAAAACUUUUAGCAACGGAUCUCUAGAUCGGAAGAGC
rnacentral:misc_RNA from 1 species